GUGGUGAUUUGGUUUUUAGCAAGAUAGAAGGAUAGUGCUUUUCCACCUGAGAUUAAUGAAAAGAAGAGCAGCAAUAUUUGAUACGAAGGCCGACGGCUAGCUACCUGUCCAGGUACUGCAAUGGAAGUAAUAUGCAUGAACAAAUAAUGAAUAUUUUAAAGGGGAAAUUGACGUUUGUUCACGGGAAGACUGACAACUCUGUCCGCACUGUCACCUGAUCUGGCGCAGUGCGUGCUAACUAUUGGUAACAGUAGGCCUUGUCAAAAUUCGGAAACUCUGGCUAAAGGAGGAGACAUUUUCAACGUUAAAAAAACGCAUGGAUACAGGAGUAAGGACAUAGACUUCUUACGCUGCCACGAGGAGACGUCCAGACAUGAAUGCGUGAAGUCAGCUAACAGGAGGAUGCGCUCUGUUGUUGGAGCCCCUCAAAGUGCUGGUGAAACAAACAUUUCUGAGGAAGGAGCUUAUCUUGUCAAUAUUCAUGGACCCCUUCCUGACUGAUGAACCUGCACAAUGAGAAGAGUUAGACUCCGGAGGAUAGUUGCCACAUCAACUUAACGGAAACCAAUGGAGCCCUAUUAGAAAGCAGAGGGAUAAUCCAGUGAUGAUUCAAAUCAUGAAGGAAGGAAACGGCGCCACCCUUAUCAAAUUCAUCAUCGAAUAUGGCCAUCAAAUCAAAGCGAGAUUGCACUCUCUUCCGCUGGUCAAAAUGGCUGAGCUCUGAGCUCCCCUAGCACACGGCAUUUUGUGAACAAUUGCCUGAAACCAGCUGUGGUGGACUUCAGAGCAAAAUUCCCCUCUUAAAACCCCAAAGCCCUAAAUUAAAUUUGUAAACCUUAUGUGGAGUGUCUUUUUCUCACGGCAGAAGCUAAAUGAGACAUUCAGCAUGGAUUAUUUCACAGAGUAUGAUGGAUGUUGACAACUACCUUGCACUUGCCGUCCAACAGAUAAAUACAUAAUGUAAUUUAUUUUUUUGUCUCUCUUUGAUGUGUGGACUCUUUAAUGGUCCAACUGAUUGAUUCAUAACCCAGAGUUAUGGCCACUUAUGUUAGUUUAAGCAAAGUGAAAUUGAAUAAAAACCAAGG